GACGAACGCUGGCGGCGUGCUUAACACAUGCAAGUCGAACGGAAAGGCCCUGCUUUUGUGGGGUGCUCGAGUGGCGAACGGGUGAGUAACACGUGAGUAACCUGCCCUUGACUUUGGGAUAACUUCAGGAAACUGGGGCUAAUACCGGAUAGGAGCUCCUGCUGCAUGGUGGGGGUUGGAAAGUUUCGGCGGUUGGGGAUGGACUCGCGGCUUAUCAGCUUGUUGGUGGGGUAGUGGCUUACCAAGGCUUUGACGGGUAGCCGGCCUGAGAGGGUGACCGGCCACAUUGGGACUGAGAUACGGCCCAGACUCCUACGGGAGGCAGCAGUGGGGAAUAUUGCACAAUGGGCGGAAGCCUGAUGCAGCAACGCCGCGUGCGGGAUGACGGCCUUCGGGUUGUAAACCGCUUUCGCCUGUGACGAAGCGUGAGUGACGGUAAUGGGUAAAGAAGCACCGGCUAACUACGUGCCAGCAGCCGCGGCGAUACGUAGGGUGCGAGCGUUGUCCGGAUUUAUUGGGCGUAAAGGGCUCGUAGGUGGUUGAUCGCGUCGGAAGUGUAAUCUUGGGGCUUAACCCUGAGCGUGCUUUCGAUACGGGUUGACUUGAGGAAGGUAGGGGAGAAUGGAAUUCCUGGUGGAGCGGUGGAAUGCGCGGAUAUCAGGAGGAACACCAGUGGCGAAGGCGGUUCUCUGGGCCCUUCCUGACGCUGAGGAGCGAAAGCGUGGGGAGCGAACAGGCUUAGAUACCCUGGUAGUCCACGCUGUAAACGGUGGGUACUAGGUGUGGGGUCCAUUCCACGGGUUCCGUGCCGUAGCUAACGCUUUAAGUACCCCGCCUGGGGAGUACGGCCGCAAGGCUAAAACUCAAAGGAAUUGACGGGGCCCCGCACAAGCGGCGGAGCAUGCGGAUUAAUUCGAUGCAACGCGUAGAACCUUACCUGGGUUUGACAUGGAUCGGGAGUGCUCAGAGAUGGGUGUGCCUCUUUUGGGGUCGGUUCACAGGUGGUGCAUGCCUGUCGUCAGCUCGUGUCGUGAGAUGUUGGGUUAAGUCCCGCAACGAGCGCAACCCUUGUUCACUGUUGCCAGCACGUUAUGGUGGGGACUCAGUGGAGACCGCCGGGGUCAACUCGGAGGAAGGUGGGGAUGACGUCAAGUCAUCAUGCCCCUUAUGUCCAGGGCUUCACGCAUGCUACAAUGGCUGGUACAGAGAGUGGCGAGCCUGUGAGGGUGAGCGAAUCUCGGAAAGCCGGUCUCAGUUCGGAUUGGGGUCUGCAACUCGACCUCAUGAAGUCGGAGUCGCUAGUAAUCGCAGAUCAGCAACGCUGCGGUGAAAACGUUCCCGGG
rnacentral:rRNA from 1 species